AACAACUCCGGAUCCUUAACCUACUGUGCCACAGCGGGAACUCCAAAAUGACCCAAUGUAUGAAUUUUUACAUGAUAGACUCAGUUUGAUUCACUAUUUCUGAUGAGCACAUUUUAAAACAAAUCAAUUUCUUAUUUCGGAGAUGACAGCCUGAAAAUCUAGAAUCAAUAGCACCUUUCAUUUUAUUAGCAGACUUACUUUCAAAGUGUUUUCACCUUUUUCUCUCACAGCUUUUUAAUGAAAUAAUGAAGCAGGUAAUAUUUUCUAUGUUUAAGUAGAGAAAGCCCACAGAGGUUAAGUAAAUUGCCAGUAGGAAGCAUUUAUAAUGAAAAUGCCAUAUUAUCAAAGUUUGGUUUAAAACACAGCAACACUGACCAAAAACUUUUUAAAAAGGUUAGUUAAAAAACAUGGGACUUCCCUGGUGGUCUAAUGGUUAGGGUAUGGUGCUUACACCGCUGAGGCCCAGGUUCAGUCCCUGCUCUGGGAACUGAGAUCCCGCAUCAAGCAGCUGCACAUUGCAGCCGAGAAAAUAAAAAACAAAACUGAAAAAAGCAAAUACACUUCCAGAAUCACAAAGUUAGGUCAGUUUAAACACAGAUCUGACUGUUCAGAAACAUUUUUCCGUUUCCCAGUUCUGUGUUAUUUCCAAGACGUACAACCUUUGCCUGUUAAAUGGCGCAUGGUAUUGUUUCCUGACCGCUGAGCGUGGGGAGAAUCAUACUUGCAAGUUCCUCAGGUCUUGGGGAUUCUUUCGGAAAGAAAAAAAAUAAAAGAACUUGGAUUUCCCCUUGAAGUUUAGCAGAAACAGAUCUGACUGGUAUCCGUGAGGAUGCAGGUUUGAUCCCUGGCCUCGCUCCAGCUGGAUGUCGUCACGGUCGUCCAGCUAAGGGCACCUCUGAGGGACCACGCAGACCCCCAGCCCCUCAGCGUCUCUGAGCAGCGGGGCACCCCCUCAACAGCCCUUAGACGUGUGGUGCGGAUAGGGGAAGGCCUUGGAUACGGCAAUUUCUAAGCUCGAUUUAAACGUCCCAGGACCAACUCACAGCUCUUGCUCUAGCACCGAGAGGCUCUAGAAGCCCCAGCCCUGCAACCUUCUCGGAGCCAUCCUCUCCGACCGGGACGAGGAGACAAGGACUGAAUCACCUCUUCUCCCACUUUCCUUCGCGGGGCCGCUGGCACUCUCGCUCCCUCCGGCCCUGCCUGCCCUCUGUCUGAGGGUCUCCCUCCGGCUGGCUCUGCGUGGAGGCCUCAGGUUGGUUCCUGGCAUAAUUGCGGAGAGGAAAAUGGGAACGAGGGAAGGACAAAGACAAACGAGGAUGACAGCCAAGGGCCGGCAAGGCUGAGCCGACGGCUCUGAGGUCCACAGUCCCGGGCAAUUCCUCCUGGAGUCUGGGUCGCCUCCCCCCAUCCACUCACCUCCAUCUCGGGAAGGCAGGAGGAGCAAGCAGGACUGCCUGCGUGGCCCGGGCGAACCGCACCUCUUUGGCUUGGAACCGACUCCGAAGUGGAUGAGGACCCAGUGGGAGAGAGGACCUCGCUUGGAAAUACUUCGGGGGGUUCUUUACCUGAGUCUCCAGCCAGGAGUCAGAUCGGAGUCACCGCUGUGACCUAUGCCUUGGCUGCAGCCAUGCCGGAUCCUUGAACCCACUGUGCUGGGCCGGGGAUGGAACCUGCGUCCCAGCGCUCCCAAGACACCGCCGGUCCCAUGGCGCCACAGCGGAAACGCCUGGAUAGAUACUUUUGACUCAAACAGAAACACAUGUGUGUGUGUAUAUGAGAGAACCUACUGUGUUUAAAAUACUUAGUUAGGAACAGAAGCACAGAAGCCUCAUCUUUCGUUCUUACUCGUAUUUCUGUGACAGGAUGGCA